UGGCAACCAUAUCACGUUGAAAUAUUGGUUCCCCUAUGCUCACCGAAGUUAAACAACGUCGAGCCUCGUCAGUACCUAGAUGGGUGACCACUUCAGAAUACCAGGCGCCGUAAG